UUGAGCUUGAUCCCUGGCUCAGAGUGAACGCUGGCGGCAGGCCUAACACAUGCAAGUCGAACGGCAGCACAGGGGAGCUUGCUCCCUGGGUGGCGAGUGGCGGACGGGUGAGGAAUACGUCGGAAUCUGCCUAUUUGUGGGGGAUAACGUAGGGAAACUUACGCUAAUACCGCAUACGACCUACGGGUGAAAGCGGAGGACCUUCGGGCUUCGCGCAGAUAGAUGAGCCGACGUCGGAUUAGCUAGUUGGCGGGGUAAAGGCCCACCAAGGCGACGAUCCGUAGCUGGUCUGAGAGGAUGAUCAGCCACACUGGAACUGAGACACGGUCCAGACUCCUACGGGAGGCAGCAGUGGGGAAUAUUGGACAAUGGGCGCAAGCCUGAUCCAGCCAUGCCGCGUGUGUGAAGAAGGCCUUCGGGUUGUAAAGCACUUUUGUCCGGAAAGAAAAGCACUGGGUUAAUACCCUGGUGUCCAUGACGGUACCGGAAGAAUAAGCACCGCC
rnacentral:rRNA from 1 species